GAUGAACGCUAGUGGCAGGCCUAACACAUGCAAGUCGAGGGGUAUCCCGCUUUCGGGCGGGAGGGACCGGCGCACGGGUGCGUAACGCGUAUGCAACCUACCCUGUACUGGGGGAUAGCCCGGAGAAAUUCGGAUUAACACCCCAUAGUACUAAUGAAUGGCAUCAUUUAUUAGUUAAAGGUUACGGUACAGGAUGGGCAUGCGUCCUAUUAGCUAGAUGGUAAGGUAACGGCUUACCAUGGCUACGAUAGGUAGGGGGCCUGAGAGGGUGGUCCCCCACACUGGUACUGAGACACGGACCAGACUCCUACGGGAGGCAGCAGUGAGGAAUAUUGGUCAAUGGGCGCAAGCCUGAACCAGCCAUGCCGCGUGCAGGAAGACGGUCCUAUGGAUUGUAAACUGCUUUUAUUUGGGAAUAAACCUCUUUACGUGUAGAGAGCUGAAGGUACCAAAUGAAUAAGCACCGGCUAGCUCCGUGCCAGCCGCCGCAGUAA
rnacentral:rRNA from 1 species